GAUGAAGAACGUAGCGAAAUGCGAUAAGUAAUGCGAAUUGCAGAAUUCAGUGAAUCAUCGAAUCUUUGAACGCACAUUGCGCCCUUUGGUAUUCCAAAGGGCAUGCCUGUUCGAGCGUCAUUUGUACCCUCAAGCUUUGCUUGGUGUUGGGCGUCUUGUCUCUAGCUUUGCUGGAGACUCGCCUUAAAGUAAUUGGCAGCCGGCCUACUGGUUUCGGAGCGCAGCACAAGUCGCACUCUCUAUCAGCAAAGGUCUAGCAUCCAUUAAGCCUUUUUUUCAACUUUUGACCUCGGAUCAGGUAGGGAUACCCGCUGAACUUAAGCAUAUCAAUAAGCGGAGGA
rnacentral:misc_RNA from 1 species